CCUACGGGAGGCAGCAGUGAGGAAUAUUGGUCAAUGGCCGAGAGGCUGAACCAGCCAAGUCGCGUGAGGGAAGAAUGUCCUAUGGAUUGUAAACCUCUUUUGUCAGGGAGCAAAGUCACCCACGUGUGGGUGUUGGAGAGUACCUGAAGAAAAAGCAUCGGCUAACUCCGUGCCAGCAGCCGCGGUAAUACGGAGGAUGCGAGCGUUAUCCGGAUUUAUUGGGGUAAAAGGGUGCGUAGGCGGGUUAUCAAGUCAGCGGUAAAAUCGUGGAGCUCAACUCCAUCCAGCCGUUGAUACUGAUGAUCUAGAGUGAGCGAGAAGUAUGCGGAAUGCGUGGUGUAGCGGUGAAAUGCGUAGAUAUCACGAAGAACACCGGUGGCGAAGGCAGCAUACCGGCGCCCGACUGACGCUGAAGCACGAAAGCGUGGGUAGCGAACAGGAUUAGAUACCCCUGUAGUC
rnacentral:rRNA from 1 species